UCAGUGAAAAAUACCACAACAGUGAUGGCAGCAGCAGCCUGCCUGGAGUGGGCACUGUGAAGAUGCCAGCUGCAGUGGGAAAGGCACAGCUGGGGCUGUAUGCUCCACGGAGCCAGCAGGUGUCAGCUGGAGCCAGGAACAGGCCUGCCCAUGGACCAAUCAGUAUGCACUUCCUCCCCUCUGAAGCCCAUAAAAGCCCUGGACUCAGCCAGACUCCGGCAGACAUGGGGACGACCUGCCUGUGUAGGGGAGCUACCCACUGUGGAUCUCCUCUCAGCUGAGAGCUGAGUAGAUGUCCAGACGACCUGCCUGUGGAAAGCAGCUACCCACUUCAGUCUCUUGAGAGCUGUACUGUCACUCAAUAAAGCUUCUCUUCGCCGUACUCA